AGGACGAACGCUGGCGGCGUGCUUAACACAUGCAAGUCGAGCGGAAAGGCCAUUUCGGUGGUACUCGAGCGGCGAACGGGUGUGUAACACGUGAGUAAUCUGCCCCUGGCUUUGGGAUAGCCACCGGAAACGGUGAUUAAUACCGGAUAUGACCACGUACUGCAUGGUGUGUGGUGGAAAGUUUUUCGGCCAGGGAUGUGCUCGCGACCUAUCAGCUUGAUGGUGGGGUAAUGGCUCACCAUGGCUUUCG
rnacentral:rRNA from 1 species